GAGUCGGUGGCGGAAUGGAGAACGUAUCUGCAUAGAAUUCAUAAACCCACUUUAAUUUCAAGCAGAAGUUGCCUGUUCGAACCAGGCCCGAGUCG